UGGGGAAUAUUGCACAAUGGGGGAAACCCUGAUGAAGCGACGCCGCGUGAACGAAGAAGGUAUUCGUAUCGUAAAGUUCUGUCCUAUGGGAAGAUAAUGACAGUACCAUAGAAGAAAGCUCCGGCUAAAUACGUGCCAGCAGCCGCGGUAAUACGUAUGGAGCGAGCGUUGUCCGGAAUUAUUGGGCGUAAAGGGUACGCAGGCGGUUUAAUAAGUCGAAUGUUAAAGAUCGGGGCUCAACCCCGCAAAGCAUUGGAAACUGAUAAACUUGAGUAGUGGAGAGGAAAGUGGAAUUCCUAGUGUAGUGGUGAAAUACGUAGAUAUUAGGAGGAAUACCAGUAGCGAAGGCGACUUUCUGGACACAAACUGACGCUGAGGUACGAAAGCGUGGGGAGCAAACAGG
rnacentral:rRNA from 1 species